GGUGGAUGGCUUGGCUCAUCAAGCUGAUGAAGGACGCACUAAGUUGCGAAAAGGUUCGGGGAAGCGCAAGGAGCUAUUGAUCCGGACAUUUCUGAAUGUGAG
rnacentral:rRNA from 1 species